CCUGGCGGCUGUAGCGCGGUGGUCCCACCUGACCCCAUGCCGAACUCAGAAGUGAAACGCCGUAGCGCCGAUGGUAGUGUGGGGUCUCCCCAUGCGAGAGUAGGGAACUGCCAGNG
rnacentral:rRNA from 1 species